GCCUUCGGUGGCUCAGCUGGAUAGAGCGUCUGCCAUGUAAGCAGAUCCCGGGUUCGAGUCCCGGUCGGGGCA
rnacentral:tRNA from 1 species